rnacentral:rRNA from 1 species
CGCCAGACUCCUACGGGAGGCAGCAGUGGGGAAUAUUGCACAAUGGGGGGAACCCUGAUGCAGCGAUGCCGCGUGGAGGAAGAAGGUUUUCGGAUUGUAAACUCCUUUUAUCAGGGACGAUAAUGACGGUACCUGAAGAAAAAGCUCCGGCUAACUACGUGCCAGCAGCCGCGGUAAUACGUAGGGAGCGAGCGUUGUCCGGAAUUACUGGGUGUAAAGGGAGCGUAGGCGGGGAUGCAAGUUGGAUGUUUAAACUAUCGGCUCAACCGGUAAUUGCAACCAAAACUGCAACUCUUGAGUGGAGUAGAGGCAGGCGGAAUUCCUAGUGUAGCGGUGAAAUGCGUAGAUAUUAGGAGGAACACCAGUGGCGAAGGCGGCCUGCUGGGCUUUAACUGACGCUGAGGCUCGAAAGCGUGGGGAGCAAACAGGAUUAGAUACCCGGGUA